CGUUUAUCGUAAAGGCGACGACGACGUUUGAUUGCUAGCCGUUGUAAUCUCGCGCGGGUAACGUUUCGGUAAUGCCGAGACCUACCGUUUUCAGAAUCGAGCCAAUUCCAAGAAUUCCCCGUCGUUCGGAUCACGGUAAAUCGGUUAAUUUAAUUUAGAAUUAUCAGCGUUUAUUGACGACGACGACGUAGCUGGAACUAACCGUCAUGACUCGACUUCUCCUCGCCCCA